rnacentral:tRNA from 28 species
GGAGACGUGCCUGAGUGGCCGAAAGGAGCGGUUUGCUAAACCGUCGUACGAGCAAUCGUACCCAGGGUUCGAAUCCCUGCGUCUCCG